rnacentral:piRNA from 1 species
UUCUACUCCAUUCUUGAUUCG